GCACCCCCGUUCCCCUCUUACUCUUGUCUACCCCGCCGCCGCCGCCACCCUUGGCGCAACCCCUCCUGCCUCCGCCGCGAUGCGCACCCCACGGCCGAAAAUGUCAAUAUCCUCUCUCGCGCUGCGCCCGCGAUGCACCCCCUCCUCGCAAACAUCCACCCACCCCUGUCGCGCCGCGACGUGCCGCGCCGGUGCGCCCCACUAUACGCGCUCUCUCGUAUGCCGCUCCCGUCACCCUCAUUCCUAACCCCUUUUCACAACUCGAUCUCGAUCCGCUCUCUCUUUCUCUUCUCCGUUCUCCUUUGCUGUAUUACCUCGCGGCGAUUCUCUCUCUCUCUCCCUCCCUCUCUCUCUCUCUCUCUCUCUCUCUCUCUCUCUCUCUCUCUCUCUCUCUCUCUCUCUCUCUCUCUCUCUCUCUCUUCCUCCCUCUCUCUCGUGUCGCCAAGAUCAUCCCUUACCGACUCAGGAGUGAAACUACGACCGCAGGAACCCUUAAGCUAUUGCUACAUGGACAGAAACUUGAUAACAGAAAAUAAGCCGGUGAGAAACGGAUCAUAACGAAAAGUGACUUUUCCUAGAGAGUCGCUCUUUUCCCAUCUUUACCAUGAAAACAUUUCGUGUAUCUGCCCACUUCGACGUGAUGGACGUACACGUGGAUCCUCAUCGAUCGAUCCUGCGCUCUCCGCUUAGUUACGUAGAGGGAGUUAAUCGGCAUUCCUGUCCUCGUCCUCGUCGGCAUUACUGCCUGUCAAGCUGACGCUUGACAAGUAAUCGUAGCGAUCGGCGAUCGAUACGAAGCACGCGCGCACCCGAUCAUCCGAAGGGAAUCGCAUCCGAAGAAAUUGUCGUAUCCUACGUUGCAGGAUUUUAUUUUUUACUGUCUAAUACAAUCUAAUGCGAUCUAAUGCGUUUGCGAUUUGUGCAAUCUAGUGCACGUACUUUUUUCCAACGAAUGAAAAUAUCUAAAUAGGGAUAUUUUGUGUAGAAAGAAUGUUCUAAUAAAUAUUGUUAUAAAUA